CGGGAAUCGCAGGCGGGAUAUGAAAUAUAUUUUUAUUUUAUUUUAUGUGAAUAAACUUUCUCUGUCCAGAAGGUCCUACUUUCUCUCUCUUUCACUGCCAAAAUAGCUCUCUCUCUUGCCCUCGAUGAAAUACAAUCUCUAAAUCUCAUUGCCUAUAUUCCUAAAUCGCUCAUUGAUCUUCACUCAAAGGUUAAAGUUUUUGGUCGUUGCUCAUCUAUGAGUAAGGUGAAUCUCAGAGAUAAAGUAGUAAAUCUGAGCAAAUCACCAGUGAAAAGGAGAUUAUCUGAAAGUUUUAUAGAGAAAUCUGCGAGAUAUGGAGUAGUUAAAUGCAGUGAAAAAGGCAUUGCAUGUGUCUAGGGCUCCAUCAAAUCUUUUGUCUCGAGAAAUUGAGAACAAUAGAAUUCUAGAGUUCUAUAAGCAAGUGUGGAACAAAAUAAGGCAAGAAGUUUGUAUAUCUGUGGCUGCCCAGGGACGGGAAAGUCUCUAUCAAUGGAGAAGGUUAACAAGGUCCUGAUAAAUUGAGAGAAAAUACCAUUUUGUGUUAUAGGAAGUCAUGAAGCACAGAGAUGCUGCACAGAUAGCAGCCAUUGAGGCUAUGCAGGUUACUUCGGCUACUGUAAGCUUAAUCAGAUGUCUCAGGUAGUCUGGUUUUUUUUUUCUUUUCUUUUCUGUCAAGUCGGAAUUUAAGGUACUUCUUUUUGAGUUGCAUAGUAAAAGGUGAAUUUUAAGUGCUGAAAUUAGUUUUUGCUUCAUGUUAAGACACUUUAGCUUGGCUGCAUGUUUGUGUAUUAAUAAGGUAAUAUUUGUUGAUGUUGUCUUGAAAAUCCCAUAUGGAAGUUGUAUAAAACCUAAAAAUGGUUCUCUAUAAAAGGCAAUGUACACAAGAAGGGACCUCCUGGGUGCACCAAAAACUAAUCAAAAGAGUUUGGCUGUAUAGCUAGUAGUCCUACUUUUUGUUAUGUUCGAGCCAACUGUGGAAAGCUUAUGUUGUAUUGUAUAUGUCUGCACAUGGUGCUAUAUUCUGUGUAAUAAAUUGCCAACAAUUUAGUGCUUAUGCAAUUGUUUGGCAGGCCACUUCAAACUCUUCUAAUUUGUCUUUGGAUAAGCUUAGCAUGGGUAAAAGUACCACUAUAUUCAACAUUUCUUUUCUCAUCAACUUAACACUAUCUUGAAUGACCCACGAGAGGUUAUAGUAAUUUGAAUUUUUUUUGGGGCAACUGAAUGGGAAAAUGUGAUAGGAGGUUACUUCCAUGACAUUCGAUAAGUUUGCAAUUUUGUACAUCAUACUGUCUGAAUGAUUGUACAACGAGUAACUGAAAUUGCAAAUUCCUAAUUAGGUCAUAUAAUGUACUGUUUUUACUUGUUUGGAAAUGCCUUUCAAUAUGUGUUAUUAUUUGUUGUUUAUUAUACUUCGAUUAUAGUAUUAUUUUACCUUAGUUAGUGUCAUGUUUCUAUGUACUGUUUUUCAAGUUAGUUGGUCUAUUGGAGGCAAUCUCUCUGCCUACACUCUCCCUUCCUCGGUCCUCACUUUGUGGGAUUAUACUAAGUAUGGGGAGAGUUUACAGAAGGUUAAUGAGAAAGAUCGGGUUAUUGUAGAUCUACGGGAUAAGGUUUCUCAGUUUAAGCAGGCUUGUCGUGAGACUGAAUUGCGGUUGAAAUUCACUUGUGAAGAUAAUGUAAUACUUGUAUUUUUCAUUUAUACCUCUUAUACUUUGACUAUCGUAUUAUUUUGUUUUAGUUACUGUCUUGUUUCUAUGUACUGUUUCUGAGUUACUUGGACUGUUUUCCCCUUGAGCUGAGGGUGUAUCGGAGACAUCCUCUCUACCCUCCUCAGACCUCACUUUGUAGGAUUAUGGUGAAUACGUUAAUUUUAUUGUUGUAUUAACAUUAGUUUUAAUUUCUUCAAACAUCAUUGUAGAAGUCCCUUUUCAGGAUGUGGGUUGCUCUGCUUUUACCAUUCUUGUUGUUAUGUUUGCUUAAACGAUAAUGGUAUAGAAUUUGUACCAAAAUAGGUUCAUGUAUUCACUUCUCUGAUCUCUUCAAACAUCAUUGUGAAAAUCCCUUUAUCUAAUUGAAUCAGAUUUGACUCGACACAAAGAAAUCCCUUUAUGUCAAAAUUGAGGGAGUGCUUCUUAACAGGUCAAAUUCUAGUUUAUUGCUAAUGUCUUGUGAGCCCUACAUUAACGGUAUAACAAAUAGGUCCACUGAUGCGUGAACAUGUACAAUCCUAUUGCACAGACAUAGCUAUAGAAUAUUAUACUUAACUAAUAUCCAAACAAUCCUGUCACCUAAGAAAGCCCUGUUACUUUACAUUACCAAGAAUCAGCAGAUUCCCUGUUUGCCUACAGAUCAUAAAAGAUGGUCAACACUCAACAUAGUAUCUGGUGAAAUUACUGCAAAUACAUGUAAGAAUAUGAUUUGUCACUUGGAAUAGAAAGACUAUUGCCAGAACCUACGAGUUAGUUUUGUUUAUUGAUUGCUGAACUUAGUUUUGUUUAAAUCUGUAGGGCUCGUUCUCUUAUUUUAUGCAGACAAGAAAAUUAAGAGUCAUGCUAACCAUUACAUUGUCAGAGUUAGUGUCUGAAGUUCGAGUAACACAAAUAAAACCUGAUGAAAUACUAGAAGAAAGUGGUGAAGCUCGUCGUCUUCGAAGGAUCAGCAGAAAACCUCUGUUCCUGGUAUGAGGUGAAAUUUCUUUUCGAGAGUCUUCUUAUGGCUCUUGAUGCCAGUCUGGGACAUGCACUUCUGAUCUUCAUAUAAUGUGGUUACUGCAUCUUUGUGAAGCUCGUCAGGAAAUGCAGUCUUGGGUAGAAGCUGCUCAAUGCGUUGUUACUGUUUCUGGUGUAGUGAUGCAGGUAACUUCGAUUAGAUAGCCUUCCUGUUUCUGAGCUAAUCUUAAACUGCUGCAGGUUGCUAGCUUUGGUGGCUCGAACAUUAAUCUGUCUGCCUAGGAGGACAAGAAGAACCCUAGUGAAUCUAAGGUUUGCAAUUUAUAUUACUCAUACCGUGCAGUCUCUUCCUUGUUGAGACCACAUGUAUUAUCUUCCUGUUGCACAAAGGUUAUAGUUUUAUUUGCGAGACCAACUUGCUAUCUAUAUGGCUACCAAUUAGAGACCAACCUACUAAUCUAUACGGCCACCGUUUAAAGCCUAAUCUAUACGUAAAACUUAACGGCCACCGUUAAGUAAACAACCUCAUAUUAAUAAACAACCUUAUAAUCUUUACGGCCACCGUUUAACCUUAUAAACUUUAACGGCCAUCAUUUAACCUUAUAACUCUAAAUUAGUAAACAACCAUAUAACCUUAUAAUCUUAACGGCCACCAUUUAACCUUAUAACCUUAACAACCACUGUUUUGAUAUGUUUGUAGUCCUGUUUUGGUGAUAUAUUGUUGAUUUAUUAAGUUUCUUGUACGGUGACACAUAACAACGCCAUUCAUCAUACAAUAAUUGCAGAGUAGCUAAAUGCUGAACAAUUAACUGAAACAUUACAUAAUCACACUAUGUAGGCACAUCGUGUAAAUCUUUCUUCAAUGUGAGCACUUGAGGUUUUCCAUUCGUGGUUUAUUCGCACACUUGACAACUUGUAUAUAAUAAUAGACAUUUUUUAAGAGUCCAAGUAACUUUGGUACUUACUAGGUACAAACUUUGAGUGUUAGUAAUGUUACAUAAUGAUGGACUAUCCUAUUACAGGUUGUUAUGUUAACAACUAUUGUUGCAAAGUAUACAAACAACUUAGCUACUAGCUAGAACAAUAGAUGAUUUCACUAUAAUAAAGUUCGUGACAGGAAAUAGUUGACGUUGAAAGGUCGAGUAUGCGAGAGAGAAUUAGGAUGAACGUCCUGCUAUUGAGACUAGACUCAGUACCAGGAGUUGAUCCAAUAGUCAGGGAGCUGAGACAAGACCUGAGUCGCAGGAUUGUGAGGUUGCAAGAGAUACUAGAUGUUGUUUCUGACACUAAAAUUCAAAAUCGGGAUGGAUUUCUGAUAGAUUGGGAUGAUGUUGUUGAAAGGAUGAAAAUGGAUGUAUGCAAUGAGAGAGGCGGUGGCAAUGAACUAGAGAUGUUUUUUGCUGAGCAUUUGGGCUUUCGAUGCCUACAAAGGUUUCUCUGCGACCAAUGAUCUUGAUAAGUGAAUAUGUUAUGUAUAUAUCUAUACAUAUCCUGUACUGGAGGUCUAUUGGAAACAACCUUUCUACUGCUUCAGAGGUAGUGGUAUGGACUGCAUUUAUUUUACUCUCCCCAAACCCCACUAGGUGGUAAUACACUCGGUACGUUGUUGUUGUUGGUUUAUCCGUACAUGAACAAAAUUUCCGUGCUUUAUUGCCCUUAAGAAACUUAUUGAAUUUUUGUUUAAUGAAAAUAUAGUCAUUAUAUGUUUAAUUUUAGUGACCCUGCUGCUCAUUAUCUUUUUCCUACAGAAUAUGCAGCAAAAGGUGUUACAGGUAUUCAAUCUCUUUUUUCCUUUGUAUACUUUGAUUUCCUAUAAUGAUGCUAACCAAAUGCUUAAUUUUGUUUGUUUGCCACUUAUAUUCAGGUCGCAAGUUUUACAAUCUUGCUCUCAACUCUAUGAUGGAUGCUCCUUUAUAGAAUUCACCUUUUCUGGAGAGUUUUAUCAAAGUAGAAGACAUCGUUUUUGUAGGAUUAUUUAGAAAAACAUUUUGUUAUAUACUUAGAGAUGCUGGCUACUUUGGUUGAUGAAUUAUGUAAACAGUAUUUGGAUAGUAUAUUUUUGUAUGUACUUUUUGUCGGAUGUUAAUUCAUUGUACUAGU